GGGGGGCCGCCUGCAUCCCACAGCCCCCGCGGUGGGGAGAGCCGGGGCCGUGGGAAGGGGGCGCGGAGCCGAGCUGGGGCCAGAGCGUGCGAGCGGCCGGGGCGAGCGUGCGUGCGGGCGUGCGAGCAGGGUGGGAACGGCGCGGGGGCCAGCGCGCGCCUGGGGACCCGGCCGUGCCAGGGGGCGUGAGUCAGCGGCUGGGACGGGACGGGGGGGGGGGGGGGGGAGAGGAGAGUGUGCGAGCGAGCGGCGCGGGGCCUGGCCGCUGCCACGGGGCCGUGCGCGCGUGGGUUUUCGUACGGCCCCGUUGCGCAGCUUCCAGAAAAGGCUCCUUCUGGAAACCUCGGCUUCCUGCCGAGCUCACGCCGCCCGGCCCCGUUCCGGGCUCCGCGGGGCGCCCCGUGCCCUGCCGGGGUCCCCCCUUGCUCCGUCCUCCCGGCCGGUGCCCGGGGGGCGAUGCCGCGUCCCGUCCCGCGCGUGGUGCCGGUUCCCAGGGCCGCGGGCAGGGUGCGGCCGUGCCCCCAACCCACGCGGUCCCGGCCCGGGUUCGGCCCCCAGCCGGCCAGCGCAGGAAGGAGCGAGCUGCCUGAAACCACAUCCCCGACACUCAUCCCAGAGGCAUCCCGGCGGGAUUAGCCGGGGAGCGUGGGCCGGCUUAGAGAGCAAAGCAUCACUUCCUGCCCCGGCCGGGCGGCCGGCCAGCCCCGGGCUCCGCUGUGCCAUGCCGAGCCGUGCCGAGCCGUGCCGUGCCGUGCCGCGGAGGGGCCAGGAGGCCGCGGUCCCCGCCAGCCCACGUCGGCAAACACAUGCAGGCGGGGAGCGAGGCCAAGCGCAGAGGGGCGGCCGUGCUCCCCCCCCUGCUCCCGCCCGGCCGCUGGCUACCGGCUGCGAUGUUUCCACCAUGAUCUCACGGCUCGGCCCGCCCGGCCCUGCGGGGUGGGGGCGUCCCCGGCGGGGAGCUCCGUGGCCCCCCCCCCAGGUGCAGGGGAGGGCCGGGCGGGGGCUGCCCCCCUGCCCUUUUUGUGGUGUGCCCUCCCUUGCGCUGUUCUCCGUGCACAAGCGUGCACGCACGCACAUUUGUGCACACGUGUGCGCGGCACCCCCUGGCGCGCUCGCCCCCGCAGGGCGUUGCUCCGGGAAGCCGCUGCCCCGGUCACAGACGGCUGUCCCCGUGUCCCCAGCCUCCUGCCACCGCCCCUGGGCACUGGCAGGGCUCCGGCUGCUGCAGCUGGCAGCUGCCCCCGCUGGGAGCGGGAUGCCCCGGCGCGCCCCGGCCGCCUGGCGUGGCACAGCGUGGCACGGCACGGCACGGGCCCUGGGGGCAGCCGGUGUCCUGCAGCCGCUCAGGGCCAGGGGCAGAGCAGCAGUGCGGGGAGGCGCACGCGUGUGCAAAGCCUCCCACGUGCUGGCACACGCGUGUCCCUGGGAUGCGCACGUGGGGUCAGGGCAGGACACGGGUGCCCGCUCCCCGCGCGUCUCUGCUGCUCCUCGCACGCCCCAGCGUGUGUGCAGGUGGGGCUGGGGGGGGGGGCACGAGGGGCACGAUCACGUGGGGUGUGCGUGUACUGGAGCGUGCACAUGCCAGCGGUGUGUGCGUGCAAGCGGUGUGUGUGCACAAGCAGCGUGCGUGCACAAAGGAUGUGUGCGCCCAAGCGGUGUGUGCAAAGGGAUGCGCGGGCACACCUGGCACGCGUGCACCAGGGACGUCGUGCUGCGCGCGGCCCUCCUGCACGUGUCCGUGCACGGGCGUGCGAGCGCACGGCGAGUGAGCAUGCCGGUGCGGCGGGGGUGGGGGCGUGUGCGUGGUGGGGGGCCAGGGGCUCCCCCUGACUCUCUCCUCUCGCCCCGCAGCAGGGAGCGGACUGAUGGGGAGCGCGCCCGCCUCGUCCUUCAUGGGGAGCUUCCUGAGCAGCAGCCUGGGCUCGGGGGCCCCCAGCCACCCCUCGGGCCCCGCCGCGUCCCCCCCGGAGCCGGCUUUCCGCGGGCCUCACUCCGGCACCUCCCAGAUCUGGUUCUCGCACUCCCACGAAGCCCCGGGGUACCCCCGCUUCUCCGGGAGCCUGGCGUCCACCUUCCUGCCCAUGAGCCACCUGGAUCAUCACGGGAACAGCAACGUCCUCUACAGCCAGCACCGCUUCUACGAGAGCCAGAAAGGCAGGUACCAGGGCCGGCACCGCGCCGGGUGCCCACGGCGGGGGGUGGGGGGACACAUCCCCAGCGCGCGUGGGGGGCAGAGAGGAGGCUGCCGGGCACGGCGGCGCUGCCGGGGGGCUCGGUGCCCGUCCCCGGCGCCCGUCCCCUGCGGUGGGUCCCCGCCACGAGGGGCUGGCGAUGGAGCAGGUGCCGGGUCCCCGGGGAUGGCGCGGGGUCGCGGGCACCCGGCCCAGCCGCCGCCGCUGUCGCUUUUCACAAUAUUGUGGCGGGCGCUUAAUAGGGAACAUUGUUUGGGUGGGAAAUGGAGCUAAUUAGGCCGUGCCUUCCCCCGCGCUCCUCCCCUCAUUAGCAGGGAGCUGGCGCUUGGCACGGACGCGGCCCCGGGCGCCUCGAACGCGCCUUUGUUCGGUGCGGGGC
ensembl:lncRNA